UACGAAGGGGGCUAGCGUUGCUCGGAAUCACUGGGCGUAAAGCGCACGUAGGCGGAUUGUUAAGUCAGGGGUGAAUCCUGGAGCUCAACUCCAGAACUGCCUUUGAUACUGGCGAUCUUGAGUCCGGGAGAGGUGAGUGGAACUGCGAGUGUAGAGGUGAAAUUCGUAGAUAUUCGCAAGAACACCAGUGGCGAAGGCGGCUCACUGGACCGGCUAGUCGACGCUGAGGUGCGAAAGCGUGGGGAGCAAACAGG
rnacentral:rRNA from 1 species